rnacentral:rRNA from 1 species
GACGAACGCUGGCGGGACGCUUAACACAUGCAAGUCAAACGCGAGAAGAGGCACUUGUUUUUUUGAUCUAGUUGCGGAGGGGUGAGUAACACGUGAGCAAUCUGCCUUUCAGCGGGGGAUACCGAUUGCAACCGCUCGCUACUACCGCAUAACAAAAUUGAACCGAAUGAUUUGAUUAUAAAAGAUUUAUCGCCGAAAGAUGAGCUCGCGUCUGAUUAGCUAGUUGGUAAGGUAACGGCUUACCAAGGCGACGAUCAGUGGCCGGACUGAGAGGUUUAUCGGCCACAUGGGGACUGAGACACGGCCCAGACUCCUACGGGAGGCAGCAGUGGGGAAUAUUGCACAAUGGAGGAAACUCUGAUGCAGCGAUGCCGCGUGAGGGAAGAAGGUUUUAGGAUUGUAAACCUCUGUCUUCAGGGACGAAAAAAGACGGUACCUGAGGAGGAAGCUCCGGCUAACUACGUG